rnacentral:rRNA from 1 species
AUUGAACGCUGGCGGCAGGCCUAACACAUGCAAGUCGAACGAGUGGCGGACGGGUGAGUAAUGUCUGGGAAACUGCCCGAUGGAGGGGGAUAACUACUGGAAACGGUAGCUAAUACCGCAUACCCUCGAAUUGUCCCAGAUGGGAUUAGCUAGUAGGUGGGUUAACGGCUCACCAAGGCGACGCUCCCUACCUGGUCUGAGAGGAUGACCAGCCAAACUGGAACUGAGACACGGUCCAGACUCCUACGGGAGGCAGCAGUGGGGAAUAUUGCACAAUGGGCGCAAGCCUGAUGCAGCCAUGCCGCGUGUAUGAAGAAGGCCUUCGGGUUGUAAAGUACUUUCAGCGAGGAGGCGUUACUCGCAGAAGAAGCACCGGCUAACUCCGUGCCAGCAGCCGCGGUAAUAC